AUUGAACGCUGGCGGCAUGCCUUACACAUGCAAGUCGAACGGCAGCACGGGAGCAAUCCUGGUGGCGAGUGGCGAACGGGUGAGUAAAGUAUCGGAACGUGCCCAGUCGUGGGGGAUAACGUAGCGAAAGUUACGCUAAUACCGCAUACGAUCUAUGGAUGAAAGCGGGGGAUCGCAAGACCUCGCGCGAUUGGAGCGGCCGAUAUCAGAUUAGGUAGUUGGUGGGGUAAAGGCUCACCAAGCCGACGAUCUGUAGCUGGUCUGAGAGGACGACCAGCCACACUGGGACUGAGACACGACCCAGACUCCUACGGGAGGCAGCAGUGGGGAAUUUUGGACAAUGGGCGAAAGCCUGAUCCAGCCAUGCCGCGUGCAGGAUGAAGGCCUUCGGGUUGUAAACUGCUUUUGUACGGAACGAAAAGGUUUGGCCUAAUAAGCUGAGCUCAUGACGGUACCUGAAGAAUAAGCACCGGCUAACUACGUGCCAGCAGCCGCGGUAA
rnacentral:rRNA from 1 species